CGGCGGACGGGCGAGUAACACGUGGAUAACCUACCUAUAAGACUGGGAUAACUUCGGGAAACCGGAGCUAAUACCGGAUAAUAUAUUGAACCGCGUGGUUCAAUAGUGAAAGACGGUUUUGCUGUCACUUAUAGAUGGAUCCGCGCCGCAUUAGCUAGUUGGUAAGGUAACGGCUUACCAAGGCAACGAUGCGUAGCCGACCUGAGAGGGUGAUCGGCCACACUGGAACUGAGACACGGUCCAG
rnacentral:rRNA from 1 species